AAAGGGAGGAGCGAGGGGGAGGGAAGGAGUGAGAGAGAGAGAAAGAGCGAGCCUGGGAGAGCGAAUGCAAGAACAAAACUACCAAAAGUAUUGCCUCAGACAAAUAAACAUAUUUACAUUUUCAAGCUGAAAAAAAUCAAGAAACUAUCCUUUAUUCUCCCAAAAGAAAUUUUUUUGUAUCACUAUUUGUAAAACUUACUAUUUUUCCAAGGCAAGCAGUAGAAACUAGAGUGCUUUGACAUGCUGCCAGCAUUCACAGUGAUUUAAAAGCACGGCCAUGGCAUUGCUACAAACCAUAAUUUAAAAGGGUUGGAAGCUGCCCUUUUGUAACAGGGAUAUACAUAUAUGGAUUUAAGUGUGGGCCUCUGUGACAGAAUUCAACACAAGUAUUAAUCCAUUUAUGGUAGGGAAUUUUUAGUUUUCACCCAGCUCUAAAUCAAUCAGAAAUUCUGAACAGAUGUAUGUUAUAAUCAAGUAACGCAUUUUUAAUAAAAUGCAACUGUUUUAUUAGGAGACUUUAACAAAGGUAAAGCAAAACAAUAAUUCUGUUACUUAAUAUGAUAAAUGACAUGGUUGCAAUUAUAUUAAUUAUACCUUCAAUGUGAAAUAACUGGCUAUAAACUCCUGGAAACCUUGGGUCUGUGUCAUACAUUUCAAUAAACACUCUUUAUCUCUAUAUAUUACUUGAAAGCAUUCCCAGCAGAUAGUGUUUCUUAUUGGGUCAUUAUUAGGCUUCCUGAACCUUUUAUUUUCCUCUACUGUUGUAAUCAUGGGCACACUGAAAAAGGAGAGAGCUCACAGUAAAAGUACACCUUUGUCCACAAGGAUGUCUGUGUCACAACAAUCACACUUCAGAGGCGACAGCCUGGUGCAGUUCAAAGUUCACUGGCCCUGAGAGUGAAAAAUGUGCAUUCUAAUAUCUACUCUGCCAUGGAGAAAGGUUUUGGAAAACUCUGAGUUCAAAUUCAGCUCUGCCAUCUAUAAGCCAUAACUUUAGUAAGUUAUUUAACUUUCCUACGUCUUUGAUUUCUCAUACAUAAUAAAAUAAAUAUUAGGAGGAUUAGGUACAAUCAGGUACAUACAGUGCUGUGGUAAGCAGAAUGUUAACAUGGCCCCUAUGACUUCUGUCCCCUGGUGUUACUUUCAUGAUUAUGUUACUUUUAUAUGGCAAAUGGGAGAUUUUCCAGGCGUGCCUACUCUAAUCAUGUGAGCCCUUAAAAAGCAAUGAAUUUUCUCUGGCUCGCAGCAGAAGAGGAAGUUGGAGGCAUGUGAGGUGCAGGAAGGAUUCUAAGCAGUGGUGCUGGCUUUGAAGAUGGAAGGCAUUGUACCUCAAUGAAUGUGACUGGUUUCUAGAAGCUGAGAGUAGCCAGCCCCCAGCUGACAGCCAACAAGGAAACAGGGACCUUGGUUCUCCAACCACAGAAAAUAGAUUCUACCAACAAGAAUGAGCUUGAAAGCAGAUUCUUCCCUCGCACUUAAAGUCUCCUGCAACUAUGGUGAUACACCUUGAUCCGGCAUCUUCCAUUCACCUCUCCAGAUUCAUUCUCCAUGCCUCAGUACUCUGUGCUAUUUCCCAGAAGGCUGAUCCUUAAGGACUACACCUGUGGGAUCCCUUGUCACUGGCAAUGGGACAAUGGGAGGUGCCAGCAGAAAAUCAGAGUGAUGAAGAAUGAGGUCUGGGUAUUUAUCUCCUGGCUUUCUGUAAGUAUACAAGGUGAUAAAAAGGAAAAUGAUUCCUAACAACUUGGGGGUAUGUGGAAGCAGGGGAAGGGGGUGCUGUGGGCUGAACUGUGUUUCCUCAAAGUCAUAUGCUGAAGCUCAAACUCCUAAUGUGACUGUAUUUGGAGCAGGGGCUUUUAAGAAGUAAAGUUAAAAGAUGUCACAAGGUGAACGUCACAAUCCAUUGGAAUAGGUGACCUUAUAAGAAAAGGGAGAGAGAUCUCUUCCUCUCCAGACACACACACACACACCCACACACACCAAGGAAAGGCCAUGUGAGCACGUGGUGAGAAGGCAGCCGUCUGUAAGCCAGGAAGAGAGACCUCACCAGAACUCAACCAUGUUGGCACCUGAUCUCGAACUUUCCAGCCUCUAGAACUGGAAGAAAGUACAUUUCUGUUUAAACUACCAGGUAUGUGAUAUUUUGUUAUGGCAGCCUGAAAAGACAUACAUGGGCAGGGAAGACUUCUCAGAGGUAUUUCUUGAGCUGAGACUUUUUGUUUCCUAGUGGUGGGAGGUAGGGUUUUCCAGGCAGAGAACACCAUGCAAUAAGGCACAAAAUUUCAGGGAAUAGUAUGUAUCAAGCACUUGGAUCAUAGAGUGCUUGGAAGGGAAGUGGAAGAGGCUGGAAAAGCAAGCAGAGGCCAGAUGUUAGGGUUUAAUGUCAAAGGCCAAGAAAUUUGCCUAAAAGAAGUCCAGUGGGAAACUACUGAGGGUUCUUAAGUCAUCUGAAGUAUGUAAUAGUAUCCAUGUUCAAAAGACCAUUCUUGUGAUUGUGUGAGAGGCCAGACUAAUAAAGAGGUAGAGAAUAAUUUAACUCUGAUUUUUGAAAUGUGCCCGAUGGAGCCCUCAGGGUCCUAAGUCAAGGAUCACCAUGAAGCUGGAGGAGGAGGCUAAGUGGGCAGGGUCAUGGGAUCCCAUGUCUACUUCACCCACAUAAGUUCUGUGGCCCUAGACUAGACCUGGAAUCUUUGUUACACUCAGGACAACUAGUCUAGAAUAUUUUACUUCAAAGACUGUACUGAAAGAGGCUACAUAGGGAGGUCAAAGGCACCUGCUUCAGCUCUUUUAGCUAUGGUGAAAAAGUCAGGGAAUUAUCAAGAAUUCUGAGAGAAAUGUGACUGGACCCAUGCCAGGAAGAUGUCAGAACUACUAAGAAAUACCAAUGGGGUGGACUGUUAUCAACCCCAGCUGAAUGACAGGCCAUAUGCAAAGUCCUAGACUAUUAUGGCUCUUAGAUUUUCAGACUACACCCAGUUGAUUAAAUGAGUCUGUGUGAUAAAUUGAAAUGUAAAAGGUUAUUUUCAUGCCAUGGAGAUCUGCUCUUGUCGGAUAUAUUUUCAUCUGAAAAUAUCGAUUAAAAUGAUUAAUAUAGACAUAACAAAAAUGACUAACUUGCUUUAGAGAAAAGAUGAUAUCUCUUAGGAAUGAGCUUUAAAAUCUCACGAGCGGUUUUUGGCAACUGCAUAGCAGAACUAAAAAGAAUGCAGGUUAAGUAUCUCUUACCCAAAAUGUUUCACAAGUAAAAUAAAACAGAAGUGUAUCAGAUUUCAAAUUUUUUUUAAAUUUUGGAAUAUCUGCAUAAACAAUGAGAUAUCUUGGGGAUAGGGCCCAAGUUUAAACAUAAAAUUAAUUUCUGUUUCAUAUACAGCUUAUGUACAUAAGCUGAUGGUAAUUUUAUACAUAUUUUAAAUAAUUUUGUACAAGACACAAAGGUUUGAAUGCAUUUUUGAAUGCAACCUGUCACACGGUCAGGUAUGUGAAAUUUUCCACUUGUGGCAUCGUGUUGACACUCAAGAAGUUUUGGUUUUGGAGCAUUUUGGAUUUUGGAUUUUAUGUAUUAUAAGAUUGUAAGGUAAAAACUAUGCCCAGGAGAGGGCAGUGCAGCCUUCUGUAAAGUUAACUAAUAGGCCCAAUAGAAAAUAGUGUGAGCAUUAAGAGCAGAGAUGUUCUAAUUCAUGAAAACUAUUUUGUGUUAAGUCACUUUACCUUUUUAAAACAUGAGAGACAUACUGCCACUUCUAUGUCCCUUGAAGAGACAGCACAAGGGAGAGCUGCUUAAGUCUUGUAAAAAAAAAUUCUGGAAAACUUUAGCUCCCUAAAACUGAAGAAUUGUAUCAAAACUGAAGAACUGUAUCAGUUCUAGCAGGUUUCUACUGACUUUCCUAUUUUAAACAAUUAUCUUUGUUUCUGAAAACUGAUUCAAUAAACUAGUUUUUAAAAGAGAUUAAUGUCUAAAAUUUUAUUUGUUUAUAUUCUCCUUUAAUUUACACUGUACACAUCUCCAAGAGCUGAUGAAAGUAUUCUAAACGGUUUCCUGUGGAAAUCUGUAGUACAGA
rnacentral:lncRNA from 1 species